GAAACCCAACCACCAGAUACCAUGUUUAGACGCACUAUGAAGAGCGUGUUUCUUUAACCUUGCACAAUGGCAUUAAACAGAGGCGUAAAGUGUUUCUGGUUCCCAUGGAUACCGCAGUUGGCGUCGCUCCCUUCCCUGCUGUGAAUGUGACACGCAGCACACACAGCCCCGCCCAUCACAUGACCGGCUAUCACUUCCGCCUCUGCUACCGGGGCGCAGCCUCUCACUAUAGGUAAGGCAAUGGAAACGCAGCAAGCCAAGCACCGGAGCAGCGGUGAGACAUCAGGUCACGUACCCGGCCCCACGGAAGGGGAAAUGAAUGAGAGAGUGGCGCCGAACCCUGCAGCACUGGCCGAGCGCAGAAGGGAGGCCCGGGGUUACCUACAGUCUAUCUCUCACCACUCCUACUGGUUCGAUCUGUGGGUCUUCCUGCUUUUCGACCUAGUGCUUUUCCUCUUCAUCUACCUCCUGCCCUGAGCUGUCAAUAAGCCAGUAAAUGCCAAACAAUGUGGAUGGAUCUUUGGAAGCAAUGAGCCCUGCGCCUUUACCCCUCUCACCUGGGUGACACGUUGCAGUGUUAUACAGAGGUGUGCCUUACUAAAUUGCACUAGAAGUCUACUCUAUGGCUAUUGGGUCAAGAUUUGCAGACUAUAAUAGACUGUUUCCUCAAUAUAUCCAAGAAGAACGGAGUAUUUAUUUUUCUGUAUGACGAAUAGGCUCUGCUUCAUGACCAAACUCUUAUUGCAGUACUGUGAGAAAAAGUGUUUAAUUUAUAACAGAGACAGAUUUUAAUUGACAAAUUAAAAUUCUGUAAAGGUAUUUCUAAAUAAACUCUUUCUAAAAGCAUA